GGGAGAGCCGCGCGCAGCGCCGGGGCUUCCAGGGCGCACGGCUAACGCCGGCACGAGUGAGACGUGGGAGAGGCCGACCCUCGGCUAGUGGCCGCAAGUCCCGGCCUGCAUCCCGUCACUAACUCCCGUGCUUUCACGGGACGGACAGAAUGACUCCCCCCACUUUCACUUUUCUCUCACGGCAAAUCUGGCCAGGGUCGUCGCUGCCUGUGGGCCUGGAUCUUUUCAGAAGAAAUGGAACGGCCCCAGGGUUCUCACUGCAGGGGGCAUGUCCAAGCUUCCGAUAGAUAGCUCUUUUGUUAAGAAAUAAUUCUUCCAACUCGGGCAGAUACCAUUUUUGUGCAGUACGAAUGUUGCCAGGUUGUCCCAUAAUCUUCAGUAGAUCAUGGCAACCAUAGAAGAAAUUGCACAUCAAAUUAUUGAACAACAGAUG
rnacentral:lncRNA from 1 species